UACAGAGGUGGCAAGCGUUGUUCGGAAUUACUGGGCGUAAAGGGCGCGUAGGCGGCUUUUUAAGUCAGACGUGAAAUCCCCCGGCUUAACCUGGGAACUGCGUCUGAUACUGGAAGGCUUGAGUAUGGGAGAGGAAUGUGGAAUUCCAGGUGUAGCGGUGAAAUGCGUAGAUAUCGGGAAGAACACCCGUGGCGAAGGCGGUUCUCUGGGCAGUAACUGACGCUGAGGAGCGAAAGCGUGGGGAGCGAACAGG
rnacentral:rRNA from 1 species